CCCUUAGAUGUCCUGGGCCGCACGCGCGCUACAAUGACUCACUCAGAAAGUUUUUCCUGAUCCGGAAGGAUUCGGGUAAUCUUCAUAGCAUGAGUCGUGUUAGGGAUCGAUCUUUGCAAUUAUAGAUCUUGAACGAGGAAUGCCUAGUAAGUGCAGCUCAUCAGGCUGUACUGAUUACGUCCCUGCCCUUUGUACACACCGCCCGUCGCUCCUACCGAUUGAGUGGUCCGGUGAGCCUUCUGGAUUAAGCAGCAAUGCUUGAGAAGUUAGGUAAACCUUAUCACUUAGAGGAAGGAGAAGUCGUAACA
rnacentral:rRNA from 1 species